CCUACGGGAGGCAGCAGUGAGGAAUAUUGGUCAAUGGACGAGAGUCUGAACCAGCGAAGUAGCGUGAAGGAUGACUGCCCUCUGGGUUGUAAACUCCUUUUAUAUGGGAAUAAAACAGGGUAUGCAUACCCUCUUGUAUGUACCAUAUGAAUAAGGAUCGGCUAACUCCGUGCCAGCAGCCGCGGUAAUACGGAGGAUCCGUGCGUUAUCCGGAUUUAUUGGGUUUAAGGGGAGCGUAGGUGGAUUGUUAAGUCAGUUGUGAAGGUUUGCGGCUCAACCGUAGUAUUGCAGUUGAAACUGGCAGACUUGAGUACAGUAGAGGUGGGCGGAAUUCGUGGUGUAGCGGUGAAAUGCUUAGAUAUCACGAAGAACUCCGAUUGCGAAGGCAGCUCACUGGACUGCAACUGACACUGAUGCGCGAAAGUGUGGGGAGCAAACAGGAUUAGAUACCCGAGUAGUC
rnacentral:rRNA from 1 species